GGUAUGCAUUAUUAGAUCUACAAGCAAAAUAGCCUUUUCAAUGGCCCACGUAGACCCGUCAUAUGCAUCGUACACGUAUACAAACAACUCUAUAUACAUACACAUAUUUCAUAGUAUGAAGUCAUGUAUUAUGUCCAUUGCUGCUGCUAUGCCAAUUGGGAAGUCCCAGAAUUAUUUGCCGUUCAUGUCUUCUCCAAUAGGUGGCCGUAUCUAGACAAAGAAAUGACAUCUCUGGUGUAGUGGGUGAGAUGGAGCAUAUUUAGAGAUAAUUAUAUACAAGUUAAUUUUGUAUUUUGUUAGAAUUAUAUAUGUGGUUCUAUAAGAGUUCAUCAUUAUUGUAUUCUUUGCUACAUAAUUCUUGUUGUCUUUCUCUAGAGC
rnacentral:misc_RNA from 1 species